GAUGUAGCACUCCAGCUCCCCUUUCCAAUGAAGCUAUUCUGCAGAGUCCUAGGUUCCUACUGUUGUGAUGAGAGAUUGGUCUCGUCUACAGUGCCUUUCUGUAUGUGAGCCAAAUAGUAGAUGAGAGAUGCUGACAAACAUUAUAUAAAACCAAUUACAAAAUGUGAAAGUAGCACACAGACGGAUACACACAUACUGCCACCAACGAUUGUGAGAUCAUAUGAGUGGAAUGAAUGGGAAUUAAGAAGAAAAGCUAUAAAAUUGGCUAAUUUGCGCCAGAAAGUUACUCACUCAGUACAAACUGAUCUUAGUCACUUGAGAAGAGAAAAUUGUUCCCAAGUGUACCCUCCAAAGGACACUAGCACCCAGUCCACGAGGGAAGACAGCACUGGGGUGCCCAGGCCUCAGAUUUACUUGGCUGGUCUUCGUGGAGGAAAGAGCGAAAUCACCGAUGAGGUCAAGGUGAACUUAACUAGAGAUGUGGAUGAAACCUAAUUACAGACAACGUUUUAAAAUAGAUGCUACUCAAUUAUGAACAAUAGCAAGUACUUCAAGACAAUGUCACUUUAUUAUUCAAGUUAUACUGCUUGGCAGUGAUGACCCUGAUGGCUGCAGUCUAUACCAUAGCUUUAAGAUACACAAGGACAUCAGACAAAGAACUCUACUUUUCAACCACAGCCGUGUGUAUCACAGAAGUUAUAAAGUUAUUGCUAAGUGUGGGAAUUUUAGCUAAAGAAACUGGUAGUCUGGGUAGAUUCAAAGCGUCUUUAAGAGAAAAUGUCUUGGGGAGCCCCAAGGAACUGUUGAAGUUAAGUGUGCCAUCGUUAGUGUAUGCUGUUCAGAACAACAUGGCUUUCCUAGCUCUUAGCAAUCUGGAUGCAGCAGUGUACCAGGUGACCUACCAGUUGAAGAUUCCGUGUACUGCUUUAUGCACUGUUUUAAUGUUAAACCGGACACUCAGCAAAUUACAGUGGGUUUCAGUUUUUAUGCUGUGUGCUGGAGUUACGCUUGUACAGUGGAAACCAGCCCAAGCUACAAAAGUUGUGGUGGAACAAAAUCCAUUAUUAGGGUUUGGCGCUAUAGCUAUUGCUGUAUUGUGCUCAGGAUUUGCAGGUUAGGAGCUAUGGAGUAGGAUCAUGAGGUGGGUCGAGAGUACCUUAGAAAACAUAAUACAUAAAGCUAAUAACCAAACAGGGAGGAAAGACAACACAAAAUCACUAACAUCAACAAUCCACGGAAGUCUGGCGUUGUAUGUGUAGGGACAAGCACUCCUCCAAUGCAUCAAGAUAAGAAAGAGUAUAUUUUGAAAAAGUUUUAAAGAGUUCAGAUACUUCUCUUUGGGUGAGAAACAUUCAAAUGUAUCUAUCAGGGAUUAUUGUGACAUUAGCUGGCGUCUACUUGUCAGAUGGAGCUGAAAUUAAAGAAAAAGGAUUUUUCUAUGGUUACACAUAUUAUGUCUGGUUUGUCAUCUUUCUUGCAAGUGUUGGUGGCCUCUACACUUCUGUCGUGGUUAAGUACACAGACAACAUCAUGAAAGGCUUUUCUGCAGCAGCGGCCAUUGUCCUUUCCACCAUUGCUUCAGUAAUGCUGUUUGGAUUACAGAUAACACUCACCUUUGCCCUGGGUACUCUUCUUGUAUGUGUUUCCAUAUAUCUCUAUGGAUUACCCAGACAAGACACUACAUCCAUCCAACAAGGAGAAACAGCUUCAAAGGAGAGAGUUAUUGGUGUGUGAUUUUAGCCUCACGUGAGACUCCUUUUAAGACUAAACCAUUUGCAUUAAACUAGAGCCUUAAGUCAAUCUCAGAAGGUAGCAUAAACAAAUAAAAAUUAACUGUAUGGC
rnacentral:sRNA from 1 species